rnacentral:rRNA from 1 species
GAGUUUGAUCGUGGCUCAGAACGAACGCUGGCGGCAGGCCUCAAACAUGCAAGUCUAGGGGGCGUAGCAAUACGUCACCGGCGGACGGGUGCGUAACACGUGGGAAUGUACCUACUGGUUCGGAACAACUCAGGGAAACUUGAGCUAAUACCGAAUGAGCCCGAAAGGGGAAAGAUUUAUCGCCAGUAGAUCAGCCCGCGUCCGAUUAGCUAGUUGGUGAGGUAAAGGCUCACCAAGGCGACGAUCGGUAGCUGUUCUGAGAGGAAGAUCAGCCACACUGGGACUGAGACACGGCCCAGACUCCUACGGGAGGCAGCAGUUGGGAAUCUUGGACAAUGGGGGAAACCCUGAUCCAGCCAUGCCGCGUGAGUGAUGAAGGCCUUCGGUUGUAAACU